rnacentral:rRNA from 1 species
UACGUAGGGUGCAAGCGUUGUCCGGAAUUAUUGGGCGUAAAGAGCUCGUAGGCGGUCUGUCGCGUCGGCUGUGAAAACCGGGAGCUCAACUCCGGGCCUGCAGUCGAUACGGGCAGACUGGAGUUCGGCAGGGGAGACUGGAAUUCCUGGUGUAGCGGUGAAAUGCGCAGAUAUCAGGAGGAACACCGGUGGCGAAGGCGGGUCUCUGGGCCGAUACUGACGCUGAGGAGCGAAAGCGUGGGGAGCGAACAGG